UAUAUUCGGACACUGCUGGAAGGAACCGUCUUGGUCGUCACUGCGCUUCACUGGUAGAUUAUGUGCGUCGCCUCGAGCGAUCGGUUGGAACACGACUGACUGACGUUGAUAGAGCGAGAGGCGGUGUGCGAUGGAGAUGGAUGCCUUUCAUUCGCUGCUCGCCAAGGGGUGUUUCGAUGGCAUUUUCGCUGCAUUUGGUAAUUGCCUAUUUGCUCUGAUAGCUUUAUCCAAAGGUCGACUUAUGGUAUCCCACAUCUCCCAUUUACUCUCAAAAAAAAGUUAAAAAAAACACUGUAUCCUGCAUUUUAAAUUCAGUUUUUUUUAAUUUAUUUCCGCCUUAUUGUUUAAAACUACCCUCAGUGCACACAAAAAUUUGUUCUUGUAGGUUUACACCAUUUUCAAAUGCUUUUCCUGACUUAUUAACCUCCGUUCGAUGAUGUGAUUCUAAGCGUGUACGAUUGUCAACAAAAAUACGACAUAAACAAACCACCAGCCCUUCGACUCGAAUCAGCAAUUUAUUCAGAUAAUUUUCAACAGAUAUUGUACGAUUUGGUAAUCUAAACUAUCGCAUUGGAUGACCAAUGCGCUGUUAAAUCGGAGAAUAUAGAGAAAACUAAAAAAAUCUCAAAAGCAGGAGAAUUCUGACUAGUAAGUAUCCUUUGCACUUUAAUUUUUUGUUUUUUUUUUUUUCAUUCUAGCAUACCGGGCGCAUAAUGUUUCUCUUUUCUCACCUGGUCGUUUUAUUACAGCUUUUUAGACAUGAUUUCGAAGACAAAAUACCCCGUAUAUUGAAAAGCUUGUGCAGAACGCGUAAAGCGAAAAUGCUUACUAGCCAAUAUCUAAGCUUUGAACGUGCAAUGAUCCUACGGAAAGGUCUUCUACUCUGGCAGGACAAAAAAGUGUGUGUGCAGCAAAAAUGAAUAUGGGCCUGGAUGCCAUUUUAACUCCAAGGCACGGACGUCAAGCUAGUGUUUUCCCCUGGUCAAUGCAGCACAGAGCUGCAAGAUUCCGACAGAAGUGCCUUUUUGUUCUGGGACGACACGCUAUCGGAUUUUACAAGAUGGUAGUUUACAAAUCCAGACAGAUCAAAGUAUUCCUCAAAAAGAAGUUG